GAUUGGUCGAAAAGUCCAGGGAGCGGGUAGUUCUAUUAGCAGAAUAACCAAUGGGAUAGGCUAAUCGCCAUGAGGACGGUGAUUGGCAUAUCUCUUAGCCAUUCGGUACCUCUCUCUCCCUGAGGCUCCAGGGGGCGCUCUGGCUCGCCGUGGUUGCCAUAGCAGCCGUCAUGGCGGUAGGCCUGCCGCUGGGCCGCCCUUCCCCGCGCUGGGGUGAGCGUGUGUGGUGUGUGUGCGGCCACGCGCUGGCAGCACGCCGCCGUGAGGGCGCGUUAUGGCCGCUGUUCCCCGAGGCUCGGGCAGAAACAGCCGGGUGUGGGGGCAAACCACGUGGCAAGAGAGGUGGCUGUGAGGACAUCACCGCAGGAAGGUGACACAAGUUUACACUCAAGCUUAGGAAAGCGCUCGGGAACUGCUUAAUUAGCAUCGGUGUUGCAAAAUGCCAGAGGUCAGGGUUGCGACUGAGCGGCUGGAGCUGGAGGAUAUAUGUAAUUCCAGCUGUUGCUCAUCACUUCCUGCUGCGUCACACCUUUCUUUCCAGCGCACAGUCCUGCUCAGAAAAACCUGCUUCCAUCACGGUGACAAGCAGCUAGGAUGACAGCUUUAUUACUGCCUGAAAUUGCCAAGACAGAAAGCAGCCAGGAAAACUGACACUUAUUUUCCACAGCGGCUUUAACACUUAGAGCGUAUGAAUAUUAUGUUAACAGUAUCAUCCCUCUUCUAAUCAGCCUCAUUCAUGAAGACGUGCAGGCUUCUUUCAGAAAGAGAUCACACCAUAAAUUGUUGAAACUGCUCCCUUCAGAUCAUGUGAAAUAUCUGUCCAGCAGUUUUGUUAAUUGCCGUGAGAUCUUCUACUGGUUUAUGCGAAGAAAAGACAAAGAAUACAGAUUUAAGGCUUUUUCCUUCUGCUGCCGGUAUAAUGAUUUCCAAGCGCUCAUUUUGCCUCCCAACAUAAAACCCCUCUGAUUCUGUGUAACAUCAUCUCAAAGCACGCACUUUUAACAGGAGAUAAGGAUGAAGUCAGCCUGGCUGCUGUCAGCUAUGGGAACGAGACAGGAUGUGGCAGGAGGUUAUCCUCGUUUUACAAAAAUACCCUGCUCUGCUAUAUUAAUCAGUUCUGACAGCAGAAUAAAUGAUGUAUUCCUUACAUAUGUUACAUCCCAUUAACACCAAUGUUUGUUGUUUGAAGUACCUAGAAUUUUUUACCUCAAGAUUGGGUAGUAUUUAAAAGUAAUGUGUCAGAUAGAGUCAUUGGAAAGUAGCUCUCUGCAGUUCUUGUGCAACUGAGCUAAUAAGAGAAUGUCACUCAAGCUUGUGUGUUAGUGCUAUUCUUGUUAAUCUCAAGGGUCUCCCUUUCAUGAUAACAAAAAUGCCGAACUUUCUCUGGUGCUCCUUGGAGUAUUCAAGGGUUCCUGCUCUGCAUGAGAUGUGUUUUGGCAGGCAACAGAUCCAGGUUAUAAUGAAAUGAUCCUUUGAUUGUCCAGAAUCUUUCAGGCACGUGUUUAACUAAGGGAAAUGAAAUUAGAAUGUCUGGGUCAAAUCAUCAGUAAGAUUUUAAAAGAUAUGUAUGUCAUCUGUGUUUCUGCAGUAGUGCUGCUUUGACCUGUACAGAGGUUUAAAUGUCUUCCUGCACGCUGGCCUGUUUAAAUUCAGAAUUUUGAGAUAUUGGUGUCAGCUUUCUAAUAAAACCUUCCUCAUUACUGGACUUC